CCUACGGGAGGCAGCAGUAAGGAAUAUUGCGCAAUGGGCGAAAGCCUGAUGCAGCGACGCCGCGUGAGGGAUGACGGCCUUCGGGUUAUAAACCUCUUUCAGCAGGGACGAAGCGUAAGUGACGAUACCUGCAGAAGAAGCGCCGGCCAACUACGUGCCAGCAGCCGCGGUAAU
rnacentral:rRNA from 1 species